GCCAGACACAGUGGUGUGUGCCUAUAGUCCCAGCUAUUCAGGAGGCUGAGGAGGGAGGAUCACUUGAGCCCAGGAGUUCUGGGCUGUAGUGCGCUAUGCCAGUCGGGUGUCCGCACUAAGUUGGGCAUCAAUGUGGUGACCACCUGGGAGCAGGGGACCACCAGAUUGCCUAAGGAGGGGUGAACGGGCCCAGGUCAGAAAUGGACCAGGUAAAAAAUCCCGUGCUGAUCAGUAGUGGGAUCGCACCUGUGAAUAGCCACUGCACUCUAGCCUGGGCAACAUAGGGAGACCCUGUCUUA
rnacentral:SRP_RNA from 1 species